CUACGGGCGGCUCCAGUGGGGAAUAUUGCGCAAUGGAGGAAACUCUGGUGCAGCAACGCCGCGUGGAGGAUGACACUUUUCGGAGCGUAAACUCCUUUUAUAUAGGAAGAAGAUGACGGUACUAUAUGAAUAAGCGCCGGCUAACUCCGUGCCAGCAGCCGCGGUAAUACGGAGGGCGCAAGCGUUACUCGGAAUCACUGGGCGUAAAGAGCGUGUAGGCGGAUUAAAAAGUCAGAAGUGAAAUCCUAUAGCUUAACUAUAGAACUGCUUCUGAAACUCUUAAUCUAGAAUAUGGGAGAGGUAGAUGGAAUUUCUGGUGUAGGGGUAAAAUCCGUAGAGAUCAGAAGGAAUACCGAUUGCGAAGGCGAUCUACUAGAACAUUAUUGACGCUGAGACGCGAAAGCGUGGGGAGCAAACAGGAUUAGAUACCCUCGUAGUC
rnacentral:rRNA from 1 species